GAUGAACGCUAGCUACAGGCUUAACACAUGCAAGUCGAGUGGCAGCAUGGUCUUAGCUUGCUAAGGCCGAUGGCGACCGGCGCACGGGUGAGUAACACGUAUCCAACCUGCCGUCUACUCUUGGACAGCCUUCUGAAAGGAAGAUUAAUACAAGAUGGCAUCAUGAGUCCGCAUGUUCACAUGAUUAAAGGUAUUCCGGUAGACGAUGGGGAUGCGUUCCAUUAGAUAGUAGGCGGGGUAACGGCCCACCUAGUCUUCGAUGGAUAGGGGUUCUGAGAGGAAGGUCCCCCACAUUGGAACUGAGACACGGUCCAAACUCCUACGGGAGGCAGCAGUGAGGAAUAUUGGUCAAUGGGCGCAGGCCUGAACCAGCCAAGUAGCGUGAAGGAGGACUGCCCUAUGGGUUGUAAACUUCUUUUAUAAAGGAAUAAAGUCGGGUAUGUAUACCCGUUUGCAUGUACUUUAUGAAUAAGGAUCGGCUAACUCCGUG
rnacentral:rRNA from 1 species